rnacentral:rRNA from 1 species
AACGAACGCUGGCGGCGUGCUUAACACAUGCAAGUCGCACGAGAAAGUCCUUCGGGAUGAGUAGAGUGGCGCACGGGUGAGUAAUACAUAGGAACGUACCUUUCGGUGGGGAAUAACCACGGGAGACUGUGGCUAAUACCGCAUGACGUCGCAAGACCAAAGCUGGCCUCUACUUGUAAGCUAGCGCCGAUAGAUCGGCCUAUGUCCCAUUAGCUAGUUGGUAGGGUAAUGGCCUACCAAGGCGACGAUGGGUAGCUGGUCUGAGAGGAUGAUCAGCCACACUGGGACUGAGACACGGCCCAGACUCCUACGGGAGGCAGCAGUGGGGAAUUUUGCACAAUGGGCGCAAGCCUGAUGCAGCAACGCCGCGUGAGUGAAGAAGGCCCUUGGGUCGUAAAGCUCUUUCGGCUGGGAAGAAGGGCUUCACGGUGAAUAAUCGUGGAGUCUGACGGUACCAGAAGAAGAAGCACCUGCUAACUACGUG